CACGGAGGGUAUAAAUGCCGGUCCGGGGGAAGGUCGAGUGUUAGAUCCACAACUGCGCUAACAUCGUAAGGUUAGACGCGAUUGGGUUCGAAAUCCUUUGAGUUGCUCCUCCUCGUCGAGUCUUUGCAAACACAACAAAAUGCGUGAGUGCAUCUCCAUCCACGUGGGCCAGGCCGGGUGCCAGAUGGGCAAUGCCUGCUGGGAACUCUACUGUCUCGAGCACGGCAUCGCCCCCGACGGCUCCAUGCCCUCCGACAAGGCCCUCGGAGGCGGCGACGACUCCUUCAACACCUUCUUCAGCGAAACCGGCGCCGGCAAACACGUUCCCAGGGCUGUCUUGUCGAUCUCGAACCCUCUGUUGUCGACGAAGUCCGCACCGGCACCUACCGCCAGCUGUUCCACCCCGAGCAGCUGAUCAGCGGCAAGGAGGACGCGGCCAACAACUACGCUCGCGGUCACUACACCAUCGGCAAGGAGAUCGUCGACCUCGUCUUGGACCGCGUCAGGAAGUUGGCCGACGCCUGCACGGGUCUCCAGGGCUUCCUGGUCUUCCACUCCUUCGGCGGCGGCACUGGCUCCGGCUUCACCUCCCUCCUCAUGGAAAGGCUCUCCGUCGACUACGGCAAGAAGAGCAAGCUGGAGUUCGCCAUCUACCCCCCCCCGGUCGCGUCGUCUACAACUCCUCCCACCCACACCACCCUGGAGCACUCCGACUGCGCCUUCAUGGUCGACAACGAAGCCAUCUACGACAUCUGCCGCAGGAACCUGGACAUCGAGCGCCCCACCUACGCCAACCUGAACCGUCUCAUCGGCCAGAUCGUCUCCUCCAUCACUGCCUCCCUCAGGUUCGACGGCGCCCUCAACGUUGACUUGACUGAGUUCCAGACCAACUUGGUGCCCUACCCCAGGAUCCACUUCCCUCUAGUCACCUACGCCCCCGUCAUCUCCGCCGAGAAGGCCUACCACGAGCAGCUCACCGUCGGCGAGAUCACCAACGCCUGCUUCGAGCCCGCCAACCAGAUGGUCAAGUGCGACCCCCGCCACGGCAAGUACAUGGCCUGCUGCCUGCUGUACCGUGGCGACGUCGUGCCCAAGGACGUCAACGCCGCCAUCGCCUCCAUCAAGACCAAGCGCUCCAUCCAGUUCGUGGACUGGUGUCCCACGGGCUUCAAGGUGGGCAUCAACUACCAGCCGCCCACCGUGGUGCCCAACGGCGACCUGGCCAAGGUGUCCCGCGCCGUCUGCAUGCUGUCCAACACCACCGCCAUCGCCGAGGCCUGGGCGCGCCUCGACCACAAGUUCGACCUGAUGUACGCCAAGCGCGCCUUCGUGCACUGGUACGUCGGCGAGGGCAUGGAGGAGGGCGAGUUCUCCGAGGCCCGCGAGGACCUGGCUGCCCUCGAGAAGGACUACGAGGAGGUCGGCCUCGACACUGUGGGCGACGAGGAGGAGCAAGGCGACGAUUACUAGGCUGACCCGCAGGGCGGCCUGGACACGACUCGCCUAUAGAGGGGCCCAGAAGCCCCUCGCGAAGUCAUUGGUCACACAGCUUUACCCUUACUGUUAGGCAACCAAAACCAUUCCAUUUGGAACGCAACAGAAAUUAAAACAAAUAUUUUGGUACCA